GGCUGAUCUGAGUCGAGUGGUAUUUUCAGCUAAUUGCUCACCACCAGUUACAGAUUGCUUUGUUCCUUCUCCACUCCCACUGCUUCACUCGACUAGCUUUUU
ensembl:Y_RNA Y_RNA Y RNA